CCGUUAUAACCGGCGAUACCCGAAUGGGGAAACCCAGUGUGAUUCGUCACACUAUCAUUAACUGAAUCCAUAGGUUAAUGAGGCGAACCGGGGGAACUGAAACAUCUAAGUACCCCGAGGAAAAGAAAUCAACCGAGAUUCCCCCAGUAGCGGCGAGCGAACGGGGAGGAGCCCAGAGCCUGAAUCAGCAUGUGUGUUAGUGGAAGCGUCUGGAAAGGCGCGCGAUACAGGGUGACAGCCCCGUACACAAAAGCGCAUGUGCUGUGAGCUCGAUGAGUAGGGCGGGACACGUGGUAUCCUGUCUGAAUAUGGGGGGACCAUCCUCCAAGGCUAAAUACUCCUGACUGACCGAUAGUGAACCAGUACCGUGAGGGAAAGGCGAAAAGAACCCCGGCGAGGGGAGUGAAAAAGAACCUGAAACCGU
rnacentral:rRNA from 5 species